AACGAACGCUGGCGGCAGGCUUAACGCAUGCAAGUCGAACGCCCCGCAAGGGGAGUGGCAGACGGGUGAGUAACGCGUGGGAAUCAACCUAGUUCUACGGAACAACUGAGGGAAACUUCAGCUAAUACCGUAUACGCCCUACGGGGGAAAGAUUUAUCGGAAUUAGAUGAGCCCGCGUAAGAUUAGCUAGUUGGUGGGGUAAUGGCCGACCAAGGCGACGAUCUUUAGCUGGUCUGAGAGGAUGAUCAGCCACACUGGGACUGAGACACGGCCCAGACUCCUACGGGAGGCAGCAGUGGGGAAUAUUGGACAAUGGGCGCAAGCCUGAUCCAGCCAUGCCGCGUGAGUGAUGAAGGCCUUAGGGUUGUAAAGCUCUUUCAGUGGGGAAGAUAAUGACGGUACCCACAGAAGAAGCCCCGGCUAACUUCGUGCCAGCCGCCGCCGUAAAAC
rnacentral:rRNA from 1 species